GAUGCUAAAUUAAGAAAACUACAGAAAAUGCCACUCUUUAUACUACAUUUUAUCCUAAUGCUUACCUAAAAUAAUUUGGUUUCUUUUUAUUAGCUCAUUCAUUCAUUCACAAACAUUUAUUUACAGAAUUCAUUCACUCACAAACAUUUAUUGAGCACCUACUAUGAACCAAGCACUGCCCUAGGGACUAAGAACGCUGUAAUGAAUGAGACAAUGCUACCACUAUAGAGCUUACAUUCUAAUGAUGGAGACAAACAAUGAACAGGCUCAAGAUGUCUCUUACACAUCUGAAUGGAGAUGUUGCACCAGAAGCUGGAUACAAAAGUUUGAAUUUGCUCAUGCUUGGGAAUACAGAUUUGAUGGUGAUAAACAUAUUGGUGCUACUGAAAGCCUUGAAGCUGGAUGUGAUCAUCUGGGGACUGAAAGCAGAAAAAGAAAAGAGGCACAAGAACUUAAGUGUUAUAAUAUUUAGAGGCUAAAAGGAGAAAGAGGAUAGAGUAAUCUGAAAAAGUCUACCAAUAAGGAAGGUGGAAAAUUAGGAAAUGUGGUAUUCUAAUAGGAACCAAUUCCAAGUGAAACAGGCAUUUCAGAAAGGUGGAAGGGAUCAAAUUUAUGUAAUGCUCCUAGAGAAAUAAAAGGCUUAUGGAAGAUUGGAAGAUCAAAUGAGGUGAGAACUGUGCAUUACAUAUAGGAAUAUGGGGGUGAUCUUGAUGAAAUCUAAUUCAGUAUAAUGCUUGAAACUAAGCUAAUGGAAAUGGUGAGGUCAUUGAUAAUGAACUAGGUUAAGUAAUGUGUGAGAGUGGAGAAUGACAAUAAGGGUGGAGAGUUCCAAUAAGGUGAUGGAACUGAGACACCAGGGUGUUAAAUAAUUGUCUAUUGGUUGCUAGUCUCUAAAAAGACACUAGGAACUAAAAUCUUUAAUGAAUGAAGGAUGUAUUUAUUGGAACGUUGCUAGAUAAUUGCAACAAAAAUAGUGGUGUAGUCUGAGGGCAUAUAUAUUAAAGAAGAUUCUCUUUUUAAUGGUAAAGGAAUGAGAAAGUGUCCAGAACUCUAAUAUGGAGCAAGGAGGAUACCUAACUCAUCUCUUACACUUAUGAUAUGCAAGGUAUGGGAUUAAAAAUAGUCAUCACAUAAGACCACUGGAGAGGUCUGUAGGAGAAAUAGUAUCUAUAGUGUAUAGCUAGGUAUCAUUUAGAAGGCAACACUUAGAGCAGAUGAUAAGAAUAUAGAGAGUUGCAGAAGUGAGAACAUGAGUUCUAGAGGACAUUGAAGGUUUGGACAGGCAUAGGAGAUUAAGUCAGAUAGAGGAUAUACAGAGUCUUGGGUGGCUGAGUAUCUAACGAGACAUGUAACUGGGAAGACUUGAAGUUCAGAUGGAGAUUGAGAUAGAAUGAGAUGUUCAGCAUAAUGAGAUUUAUUAAAGAGAGGACUUAUGAAUUCUUCAGUACCUGUCUGUCUGCCUCUGUACUUGGUGAAAAAAUGAAGCUGUUAUUUUCUAGGUUUACUGCUGUUCUGGACCACAAAAAAGGAUACUGAAGUUGGUCCAUGGCCUGCUGGUUGAUGGUUCCCAUGCUAUUGUACACGAAGGUGCUGCUCAGGAGGAUGGCCAAGGCAAAGAUCCAGGAGUCAUUCUCAUUGUCACCCUGUAAGUCAUUGUAGAAGCCACAAAGAAGAAUGACUAGCAGAAUGUACAAUCAAUUCAGAUAGCUGAAGACUGACUGAACUCCAACUCUGUCUCUCAUUAGUUCUGAAAACUUAGGUAACUCACUUCCUUAUGCAGUAUUUUUUUCUACCUGUAGAACAAAUUUAUAAUAUUUAUGAUGUAUAAUUUAAGGUGUUAUAUAUAAAUAUAUGUCAGCAGGAAACACAUGAGCACUUGGUAGGAGAAGCUAUUUUGAUCAGCUACUAAAAUUCAAACUGGUACCCUAAACUUAGUUUAUGACCCUAUUCCAUUUCCAUGGCACAUCAUAGUAAGAUAUUUUUUACACAGUAGUUAAAAUAAGCUCCUUUAAUAAAAGCUUUCUAUGUCUAAGAUUUAUAACAGUAGUAAUAUAUUAUCCUUAAUGAGCAAAGAUGUUAUCAUUAGAUUUUACACUUUGCUUCUCUUUCUACUGGUGCUGGUGUGGAUGUGAACAUUUUUACUACCUUUGUGGGAUCCCACUGUAAAAAGUCAGACAUGUUUGUAAAACGUCUACUGAAGUUUAUAAGCACCUUCAGCAGCCUCACCAAAACAUUUUACUAUAAUAUGAAAGAGAAAUAACUGAAAACAUCAUUAGCCAUUAUUUCAUAGGUUUACCCAUAAUUAAUCAAUUGAACUUAUUGUGUACUCUGAAUGCUUAUACCACACAAAUUUUAAGAAAUAAUAUAUUAAUAUAAUUAACUAGAGCCCUAAAUCAAGGAGUAGGAGUGAUUGUGCAAAGAUGGUUAUCGAUCUGACCUGGUUUAUGUAGAUUUUAAUCUACCUAAGUGAAAUUUUUAAAAUACUUAUUUUUUUUACCUUCUCUAUAUCUCCCAGGCCCUCAGUGUCGAGCAGAACUAGGGUGUGUUCUGGCUUCUUGGGAUGAGGCACACACCACAUCCAGAUUCCCUUGGUGUGAGACUUCACUGUGGAGCCUAGAGAGAAGCCUGUAGAAGGAGAGGAUAAAAGGGAAAAGAAAUUACUUAGUAGGUGUUUCUGGAAAUUGAGAUAAAAGUUAACAUAAUUGAAGUUAAAAGAGAUAAAAGAAAAUACAACUGGCAUAAAUCUUAAUUACAAUCCUGGAAACAGGAAAAUUAGAUAUUUAAUACACACUGAAACAUUCAUAUUUUUCUUAAAGUUCAUUGAAAGCUUGCUGUCACUACAUGAACAUUUUAAUAAAUGUUUUAUAAGUCAUUAUUAUAGAAGUUAAUUUUCUUUAUUAACAUUGUGUUCCUUCCAGAAAGGCACAUUUAUACCCUUAGUAUAAAAUAAAAGUAAAGUGGGAAGAGUCAGUUGACUGUAAUCCUCCAAAGUCAAUGUAAAGAGCCCAUUAAUGGACUGAAAGUUAGCUUUCAACAUUCAUUCUCAUCUCUUUCUAUGCUCACAUCCCUAAGCUGGAUGUUCGCCGUGUGUACGGACAGAAGGGGCUUAGAGCUUUGCUGGUGUCACUCACCGUUUUUCUUCCCAGCCAGCUUGUUCAUCAGGUAGGAUUUGCCUGUGCGAUAGAGGCCCACAAUCGCCACCACCACCACAGGCUGCGUAAUUGCAGAUAGGAUCUUCAGAGCUUCUGGAUUCACCACCAGCUGCCCUUUAGUGUUAUCAAUGAGGCUCAUUGGGCCCGGCAAGUUGAUCUCUGGAGCCAUGUCCAGGGUGUUGUUCCCUUGUGUGCAAGGAAAAAGAUGAAAUGGAAAGCAGUUUUUAGGUAGUUAGCUAUGCUGAACUUUACAAUAUGGGUUAAAUUUUUGUUUUCUAUGCUUGAACAUUUUUUCAUAUACGUUUUUUAAAGCCUGGUUUCUCUUUAAGGCUGUCUUACAAAUUGGGUCACUGGCUUUCUUUAAAAAUAACUUUAUUUUGAAAUACACUUACAGAAAAGAUGUACAAUGGGUAUGGAAAGUUCCCAUAUAUCAUUUCCCCUAAAGUUAAAAUUUUCCAUAACCAUAGAACAAGGAUUUUAACAUUGGUAGAGUGAUAACUAAUUUACACUCCUUAUUCACAUUUCACCAGUUUCCCACUAAUGUCCUUCUGCUCCAUGACCCAAUCCAGGAUUCCUCAUUGCAUUUAGUCAUUAUGUUUCUGUAUUUUCCUUGCAUCUUUGAUAGUUCCUUAUUCUUUCCUUGUCUUUCAUGUCUUUGACAUUUUAGAAGUUGACUGGCUAUGAUUUUGUAGAAUAUCCCUCAAUUUGGGUUUUUUGAUGUUUCCUUAUUAUUAGAUUGAAGUUAUACAUUUUUUUUUGCAAAUGUCACCAAAGUGAUGUUCUGCCAUUUUCAGUGUCUUGUAUUAAGGGAUUCAUGAUGUUGACAUGACUUUUUCUGGUGCUGUGACCUUAACUUUGAUCACUUGGUUAAGGUGUUCUCUGCCAGGUUUCUCUACCACAAAGUGUUAUGUACCAUUUUGUCACUAAAAAGUACCAUUUGAAGAGACAGUUUGAAGACUAUGCAAAUAAAGAUUCAUCAUACUUCCAUAAUUUUUUCAGUCACUAUUUUUAGCAUCUGUUGAUAAUUCUUGCUUAUAACUUACUGUGAUGUUUGACUAAAAGUAAUUUUCUAUUUUCAUUCCUUCUACAUUUAUUAGAGUUCUAAUGUGAGCAAGAACUGCCCUUUCUCCUCUAUUUAUUUUAUUUACUUAUUUAAUCAUUUAGUUGUAUCAGUGUAGAUCUAUAGUAGAUCAGUGUAGAUUUAUCAUAUGGGUAACACUUUACUAUCACUAUUUAUCUCAUUGCUCAACUCGUCCCAGAUUAGUUCACUGAGAGCUCCUUCAAGCUGUAGCCCAGGUACUAUGGACGUGCUUCCAUCAUAUUUUCAGUGCGUCUUUCCUUCUGACAUUACAAUAUAUGCCAGGCUUAUCUAAUAUUUUUUCUGCUUCAGCCUUAGAAUCGACCAUUUCUCCCAAGGGCUCUGGUUGCUUUCAUUGGAUAAUGGUAGAUAGACAACAAGAUUAUCACACUAGGUGUAGUCAUUACUUCUAGGCCCUCUCAGGUGGAAAGUUAAGAAAUCUAUGUUUAUAUACCAGCACAUGAAUACACACAUCUACAUUUAUUUCUCGUCUAUCUGUUUCUAUAUAUAAGCUUAAGUUUCUUCUGAUAUUUCUAAUUCCAAUUCAACAAAACAAAACUUAUUCAUGUUUUCCCCUUGUUUUUAAAAUCUUUUCUCUGAGUGUGUCAUUAUACAUAAUAAAUUUAGUUAUUUGCUCAAUUCUAGUACAUAUAAUUUGUUUUAAAGUUACUAACUCAUAAGUGUUUGAAAGAUAAAUUUGCUAACUAGAGUGCACUAUUAGUUAAAAGUUCUUGUCUUUGGUCUUACACAUACAGUCAAAACACUGUAUUCCAAAGUUGCUUAGACUACUAUUUCCUUCUCCAUUCUCUUUGGUGUAGUUAAAUUAUUUAUUUGUAAUAUAGUUAGGUUCAUUUGUUGGUUGAUUUUAAGUAUGCAUUUAUUUUUGAGUAUGCGAAAUAUCAGAGUUCUGAAAGUCAGAGCUUUACAACAAGCUGUAGUCAGAGAAGUGUCACUUUCCCUUCAUCUUGGCACUGCAUUCCCAUUCCAUCUGUCUUUCUAUUCUUUCCACUUCAUGCCCACUUAUCCUCCAUAGAUAUCCAAUCUUGUUAGUUUCUAGUUUACCUUUCUUGGACUUUUUUUCAUUAAUGAGCAUAUACAUGUAUAUUUUCUUAUUCACAUUUUCCAACAAAAAGAUCACAUCACUUAGAAAUAUGGGAGUCUUUCCCUAUCAGUUCGUAGGAAGAUUUCUCAAUUCUUUUGACAGGCAUCUACUCCAUUUAUGUGGACAUAGCACAGUUUAUUCAACCGUUCUUUUAUGUAUAGACUUUUAGAUUGUUUCUAAUAUUUAGCAAUUACAAACAAUGCUGCAAUGAAAACCUCUGCUAACCUUGUGAGUGUUUAUUUUUAUAUUGCUAUAGGAGUAACUUUAGGAUAGCAUCCUAUAAGUGAGAUUGCCAGGUCAAAAGGUAAGAGCAUUUUAUUUUGUUGGAUAUUGCCAAGUUCCUCUCCAGAAGGAUGUAUCAGGUUGAAUUCCCACCAGAUCAUCUUGUAUCUCACUGUUCAGAAAAUGGAUUUUUUUUCUAGAUAUGUCACAUUUUCUGACUUAAUUACAAAAUUUUCUUUGGAAACUUUUCACAUUCACGUUUAGAUAUUUGGACUGAGCAAAGCUGAGCUCACUAAGCUCAUGUACACAGUAAUAGGAACUUUUACCUGGGGAAUCUUGUGUCAUACAUAUCUCCAUACUUUGAAACAUAGAUACCAUUCUAACCCAGCCUUGGUCCUGAUUUCUUCCAAGCCCCUCUACGGACAGGGUCUGGUCAGACUGUGGGACUCAGGUUACCCAGUGGCUUCUUCCUAUCACUAUGCAGGAAGCCCUUUGAGCUACCACAGGACAUCACUUGUUCUUAAUAUUUGCUGUGAAUCAGCAUUCACCUGUUAUUCACUCAAGCUUGGUAUCUCAAAUCUGACAUGUAGAAAAUCUGCUGAUUUUUUACUCAAUUAUGUUACCAGAUUUUAACCUCUCUGUGUUUUAAGACUGAUUCUUUAUCACCUGCAUGUAUAUCAGUUUGCAUAUUGCUUUCAGUUAUUUCAGGUAAUGAAGCCAGCAUCAGGAAACAUUCUCUGAUGAACCAGGGCUUGUUUUUUUCUGACUUCUGCUUCAUGGAGAGCAGUAUAUACACAAUUGUAGGCAUAUCCUGUUUAACCAGGCCUUGAUAAUUUGAUAAUUUUGUAAAUUUAAAAUGAGCAAGAAGCCUUCCUGUAGUAACAUCUUAAUUUGUGUUUUUGCCUUGAAUGUCUCAAUCCCUGUAACUUAAAAUGAUCAUGAUAUAACAUUUAUAACUUCUUUAACAAACAAUCAUAGACUGUAAGCAUUACAGCUUUCCUUCUUCUAUAAUAAAGAGUGCUUUGUUUAUAA